UACGUAGGGUGCGAGCGUUAAUCGGAAAUUACUGGGCGUAAAGCGUGCGCAGGCGGUAAGUUUAAGUCUGAUGUGAAAGCCCCGGGCUCAACCUGGGAAUGGCAUUGGAAACUGGCUUGCUGGAGUGUGGCAGAGGGGGGUGGAAUCCGCGUGUAGCAGUGAAAUGCGUAGAGAUGCGGAGGAACACCGAUGGCGAAGGCAGCCCCCCUGGGCCAACACUGACGCUCAGGCACGAAAGCGUGGGGAGCAAACAGG
rnacentral:rRNA from 1 species